rnacentral:rRNA from 1 species
UACGGGGGGGGCAAGCGUUGUUCGGAAUUACUGGGCGUAAAGGGCUCGUAGGUGGCCAACUAAGUCAGACGUGAAAUCCCUCGGCUUAACCGGGGAACUGCGUCUGAUACUGGAUGGCUUGAGGUUGGGAGAGGGAUGCGGAAUUCCAGGUGUAGCGGUGAAAUGUGUAGAGAUCGGGAGGAACACCGGUGGCGAAGGCGGGUCUCUGGGCAAUUCCUGACGCUGAGGCGCGAAAGCGUGGGGAGCAAACGGG